UUGAUGGGAAAGUUGUGGAUUUUGCAUAUAAGUUGUUGUAUUGUAUUUUAUGUAUGUUCUGUUCCUUCAUUGGUUGAUAUUUGAUGCAGUACCAUAUGUGGUUAUGUUCAGCCCCUGUUUCCUAUGAUUGGUUGUAAUUUGCAUGCUCCACCUAAACCCCACCUUCUGUUCUAGUGCCUUCCUUAUCCAUGUUAUUUAAGGCUGGAGCCAUUUUGUGCAGUGCCUUUUGUGCCCUUUUGUUCCUUCCUUUAAGCUGUUCAGUUGCCCCGUUACUUUUAUAAUAAAAUCACCUUACCAGCUGCACCCAGACAAGUUGUGGAGGUCUUUAUUCAAGCGCCGACCUCUGCACAU